rnacentral:lncRNA from 1 species
AAUGAAGCGGAAAACAUAAUCAAAAGUAAUAACAGCCCAAGGGAUCCGGCGUCACAAGUCAGAGCCUCAAGAUACAACAGAACAGUAUCCUAAACAAGGAAAAUCUAGAUGCAGAAAUAAAAGAUAGAUAAGAGGAGAAAUCAGAUCCUACGGACGCCAGCAACUACCUCGAUAUCUCCAGAACCGAACUAGGCAACAGUAGAUAAGCAUAGCUAAGCCUCCGGGAUCCCUGUAUUUGCACACAAGGUGCAGGGAGUAGAAUGAAUACUUCCAACUCAGUGAGUAGUAAUAAUAAAUAACAACUGAAUGUAAGCAAUCCGAUAAGAACACUAUACAGUUCUAAUAUCAACAGUAACGUCAUUGAAUAAUGCUAAACAGGGGAGAGAAUCUGAUAAAUACUUCUCUUUCAGUCCGACUAGUUAUUAACACUGCUGCGGCUCACAACCCGAUCCAAUUCCAUAUAUAUAAUGUUGCGGCGCACAACCCAAUCUAAUAUAGUAUAUUUAAUGCUGCGACGUGCACCCCAAUCCAAUAUAAUAUAUAUAAUGCUGCGGCGCAUAGCCAGAUCCAAUAAUAUAGUCUAAUGCGCUUACUGGGGGUGUGUGCAGACUCCGGAGGGGCUUAUUCAGCCAAGCACUAUAAUAUUGCGGCGUGUAGUCCGAUCCAUAUAAUAUAUCACUGCGGCGUGCAGCCAGAUCCAUAUAAUAUAUUACUGCGGCGUGCAAUCUGAUCCAUAGAAUAUAUAUAAUGAGACAGCGCGCAACCCGAUCCAAUAUAAUAUAUCAAAUACCCUCACUACGGGGUCCUUGACCCCUCUCAGUCAAUAUAGACUUGGCCUCUCGGGCCCACACAACUAAGAGAGGGUAUUCAACCUUAGGUGUUGCUCAUUUAGGGUGCAAGUUACUACGUCGAGUAGCUUUCAUAAUUUACAGUCAAAGUCAGGACAGAUGGUAUGUGUUCAAUAGGUAAAAUGGGGUCAAUCGGCUCAACAUGCUUCCUAGGAGUUCUACAAAUCGGCAUAAGGCCUCAAAAAUGGCAACUAGCCCAAAUAUAUAUAAGUACAAGCUCAGUCUCAGUCAAAAAGUGCAGUAAGCCAUCAAUCGGGAUGGACCAAGCCCGAGCCCCCAGCAUAAACGUCACCACGCUCAUCGUAUGACGCGUGUUUUAUCUCAACAUAGCACCACAUAGUUCAAAUACGGGGUUUCAAACCCUCAGUAUAUCAGUCAUAACCAUUACUCACCUCAAACCAGCCAAAUUCUAGCUCGCCUUGCGCUUUCCUCGCAAAUCGACCUCCUCGGAUGCAGAAUCUGACCAAAACCACAAGAAAUAUGUUAUAAUAGGCUAAUGGGACAUAACACAAUCGAAAGAACUCGAAAAACACCAAAAAUACAAAGUACACUUCUCGAAAAAUUAUAAAAUUCAC